rnacentral:tRNA from 1 species
GGAGGGUUCGCCUAAUGGUAUGGCACCGCACUUGAAAUGCGGCGUCCGCAAGGACUUAGAGGUUCGACUCCUCUACCCUCCG